CUGCAGCAGCUUUUUUCAGUCAAUUAUGUUAAGAAAAACCUCAUUCUUCUUACGGUUUUUAACUUGUAAAUAUUGCGCGCAGCGCCCUAUGGUUAUGCAAACGAGAAGCUGAGUCAUCGCCCUUGAAAUUCACGCCGCAGCGUCGGGGCCGGGCUGACGCCUGCGUGGCCUGAAAAAAAAGCCCAGGCUCUAGUCUACGCAGGAAACCCAAAAAUCUCUGCACUUAGACUGAGAAAAAUAAAGCCAAUAAAGUGAUUUCGUAACAAGCAAAGAAAAAGACUAGAAGAAAGGAAUAAUAAACACGGCAGAAUUACAAGAGAAAGAAUCGAAGAAGCCAAAAAGUUGGGCUGCUUUCAAAAAACAACGCCUCCCUUCAACUCCUACUUGGUUCCCUGAAACUGCUGCAUUUGUCAUGAGCCUGGUGACACAACCUGGAUUUAAAGAGAAAGGACUGAAGAAAAACCUAGUGCCUACUUUGGGAGCAGUGGAAACCUGCAUGCAUUGUUGGUAGGAGUGUCAAGUGGGACAACCAUCCAUUUUACUUUUAUAAAAGGAAAAAAAAGGCAUUGCCUAUAUUGCUAAAUGAUAACAGGACAAGUUACAAGAUAUAUUUUAAUAUGAUUGGAUGUUUGGCUUAAAAAUAGCUUGUUCAUGAGUGUCUGCUGUCCAUUUGGGUGUAUAGGGAAAAAACUUGAAGACUAUACAACAAAGUGUUAACAGCGGUUACGUCUGGUGGUAAGACAAUAGGUGAUGGUUUUUUACUAUAUCUGUCUGUAAGGUUUUCAAUUAGUAUGUAUUACUUAAUAUGAAACACCAAUAAGGCCAUUUCAUUACACACAAAAAGAGUUGAAAGAAGAAAAUGAAAAAAAGCAGGCAUAAAUGACUUUUAACCAAGAAAGGUUCAAUGAAAACCAAAAAGAUUGAUCAAGAAAGAACAGAAAGAGGGGGGUUUAUGGGAACCUCUUAUUUUUUUAUAAUAUAACCUUUUUUGUCAUGUAUGUAUCUUCAAAAAAAUACAAUUUAUAAAAAUGAUGGGGGUAGGGUGGGGAGUGGGUUAUAUGGGAACUUCUUAUGUUUUUUUAAUGUAACAUUCUGUGUGAUCUAUUAAAUUUAAUUUAAAAUAUGUGUUAAUUAAAAAAAAGAAAGAACAGAAAGAGAAGUUUUAAUAAUAUUGGGGAUGAUAGUGUCGCAAGACAGUUGGCUGUCUUUCCAACAUGAGGGAUCUUUAGUGAUAUAUACAUGAUAUUAGCUACAUAUUUUAUAUAUAUAUAUAUAUAUAUAUAUAUAUAUAUAUAAACUUGUCCAUCUUAAAAAUUUCAGCUGCUUUCCUUUUCUCCUUUAGUCCUAGGAGUGAUAGCUCUUUCCAGAAAUUGCCACU
rnacentral:lncRNA from 1 species